AUAUAGACGAAACAUUUCAAAUUCAGUACGAUCUUAUGAAAUUAUAUCUAAAAUGUUACGCUUCAAAACACAUAAAACCACUGGGAAGUCAUUGUUUUUGACAGAUUUGAAUAUGUUCUCCAUUUGUAAACAGUCUUCUACUCCAGUAUUGUUCUCCCACUGUGACACUACAGACCCACGGCGACUUGAAAAUCUAGAACUGCCGAGAUGUGCAGAUGUGCAAACACCCACCGGAGAUGGCUGAUCUUCCAGGCAGCCGUGUGGAAGAGCGUCGAGAUGGGCGUCACAUGCCGGCUAAAUGUUCCCACGUGUUUGCAGGAGCCCGGCUUUCACUUCGUGGAGACAGAGGGCCCGUUGCGCCACACAGCGCAUGAAUAGGAUCAGCCGUACGUAAUAAUGUAAGGAUCAGAGCCUCUGGAUCACAGCGUGCGCUGCAAGAAUCUGUGUGCGAGUAACUCCAAGGCUAUUCCUUUCACUGCGAAGAACAAGUUAAUCUCCUCUGGGAGUCCUGACUCCGGUUCUCACGAUUAUAGCCAAGCUUCCCCUUCAACGCAGCAAACGUCCCGGGGCAGGACUGGACUUGAUAAACUGAUGUCGUGGCGCUGAACUAUGACCCACAUCGUGGUGGGGGAGACUUACUGAGCAACAGAACCCUGACCCAUGUAUGUGUUUCAAUGGGGAAGAAACAUAAAAACAAAAGUAGCAUGGGUUUCUUUAGUUUUCAGCGAUCUUUAAUCUGAUAUCCCAAAACCACCACCUGUGUUAAAUCAGCAGGCCCGGAUUUACAAGGAUGUGUGGCCCUGGGCAGAGCAGUUUUGGUGCCCUGUCCACUGAGGAAAACUUAUUUUACUAAUGCAAAUUACAGUACACUAAUAGGUAGUCAUCAACAGCUAUGCCUUGAUUCAUGGGAGGUUUAAUAGCCAAUAACUCUACGUCAUUCCCAAGAAAUCGACUACAACUUCAUUAUUUCCAAAUACUUGAAUAUUGUUUAAAAAUCAUUCAGUUCAUAAAAUAUUAAUGCGACUCAUCUAAUUUGUGCAUAUAGGUUUUAUAUAAAGUACAAUGUUUGAAAAACACACAUUCACUGAAAAAAAAAGCAAAGAAAAAUCUUUGGGACACCACCCAAAAAAUGGCGCCCUGGGCUACUGCCCCAUGAGCUCUUCUUAAAAUCUGGCCCAGCAGAUCAGAGAUAAAGUUGUGCAGAAGUUUAAAGUAUUGUUUGGUUAUACAACAAUAUCCAGAUUUGACCUUCUAAGGAGAAACUUUCAGUAAAUAGACAGAGUGUGACAAAACAAGUCACUAAUCAGAGAAGAACACAUGGGUGAGCUUUGUGUUGCACAUCACCCUGAAAACAAGUGGUGGCAGCAUUAUGCUGUGUAAACGCUUUUCUUUGGGGAUACAAUCCUGAACGACAAAACAAUGAGAGUGCAAAAAUCUCAAGGUUUGCCCUUAAGACAGUGAAAUGGUUUAGAUGAAAAUAUGAUCAUGUGUUGGAAUGAACUAGAAUCCGUAGCGAAAACGUGAAUAUUGAUCUAUCAAUUUGAUUGGUCUACGAAGUAUUGGCUUGGUUAAUACACGCCACAUUUUUCUGAUUUGUAUAAAUGAAAUGACUUAGUGUUAGCCUACUUGUUCUAUCACAUAAAGUCUGCUCCAUGUUACAAAAUGUGAAAAGUUUCAAGGAGAGUGAAUACCUUUCAACGCCACUGUACCCCGAUGGAGGAAACACGAUGAUCCCGGGAGAAAGACUGAAAUUUAAACUGAUUGCUCCCCCGCAUACGCGCUCACUAAUCUGUAACAUCACUCUGAUUGUCCUCGCGUCACAGCGCGUAGUAGAUGGACAACAUCUGUCCGCCGUGUGGGAUUCUACUU